UACAGAGGUCCCAAGCGUUGUUCGGAUUCACUGGGCGUAAAGGGUGCGUAGGUGGCUUGGUAAGUUUGAUGUGAAAUCUCCGGGCUUAACCCGGAAAUGGCAUUGAAUACUAUUGAGCUGGAGGUUUGGAGGGGGGACUGGAAUUCUCGGUGUAGCAGUGAAAUGCGUAGAUAUCGAGAGGAACACCAGUGGCGAAGGCGAGUCUCUGGACAUUUCCUGACGCUGAGGCACGAAAGCCAGGGGAGCAAACGGG
rnacentral:rRNA from 1 species